GCCCAGAACAGAUGCCAGAAAGUCAGGAUAACAUGACAACCAAGACCCUCACAGCACCCCUCAACCCAGUCAGGAUAACAUGACAAUCAAGACCCUUACAGAAGCCCUCAACCCAGUCAGGAUAACAUGACAACCAAGACCCUCACAGAAGCCCUCAACUAAGUCAGGAUAACAUGACAACCAAGACCCUCACAGAAGCCCUAAAUCUAGAACAGAUGCCAGAAAGUCAGGAUAACAUGACAACCAAGACCCUCACAGAAGCCCUUAACCCAGUCAGGAUAACAUGACAACCAAGACCCUCACAGAAGCCCUCAACUAAGUCAGGAUAACAUGACAACCAAGACCCUCACAGAAGCCCUAAAUCUAGAACAGAUGCCAGAAAGUCAGGAUAACAUGACAAUCAAGACCCUCACAGCAGCCCUAAACCUAGAACAGAUGCCACAAGUCAGGAUAACAUGACAAUCAAAACCCUCACAGAAGCCCUAAACCUAGAACAGAUGCCACAAGUCAGGAUAACAUGACAAUCAAAACCCUCACAGAAGCCCUAAACCCAGUCAGGAUAACAUGACAAUCAAGACCCUCACAGAAGCCCUCAAACCAGUCAGGAUAACAUGACAACCGAGACCCUCACAGCAGCCCUAAACCUAGAACAGAUGCCACAAGUCAGGAUAACAUGACAAUCAAGACCCUCACAGAAGCCCUAACCUAGAACAGAUGCCACAAGUCAGGAUAACAUGACAACCAAGACCCUCACAGCAGCCCUAAACCUAGAACAGAUGCCACAAGUCAGGAUAACAUGACAAUCAAAACCCUCACAGAAGCCCUAAACCUAGAACAGAUGCCACAAGUCAGGAUAACAUGACAAUCAAAACCCUCACAGCAGCCCUAAACCUAGAACAGAUGCCACAAGUCAGGAUAACAUGACAAUCAAAACCCUCACAGAAGCCCUAAAUCUAGAACAGAUGCCACAAGUCAGGAUAACAUGACAAUCAAAACCCUCACAGAAGCCCUCUACCCAGUCAGGAUAACAUGACAACCGAGACCCUCACAGCAGCCCUAAACCCA